rnacentral:rRNA from 1 species
GGGAUAACACUUGGAAACAGGUGCUAAUACCGUAUAACACUAUUUUCCGCAUGGAAGAAAGUUGAAAGGCGCUUUUGCGUCACUGAUGGAUGGACCCGCGGUGCAUUAGCUAGUUGGUGAGGUAACGGCUCACCAAGGCCACGAUGCAUAGCCGACCUGAGAGGGUGAUCGGCCACACUGGGACUGAGACACGGCCCAGACUCCUACGGGAGGCAGCAGUAGGGAAUCUUCGGCAAUGGACGAAAGUCUGACCGAGCAACGCCGCGUGAGUGAAGAAGGUUUUCGGAUCGUAAAACUCUGUUGUUAGAGAAGAACAAGGAUGAGAGUAAAAUGUUCAUCCCUUGACGGUAUCUAACCAGAAAGCCACGGCUAACUACGUGCCAGCAGCCGCGGUAAUACGUAGGUGGCAAGCGUUGUCCGGAUUUAUUGGGCGUAAAGCGAGCGCAGGCGGUUUCUUAAGUCUGAUGUGAAAGCCCCCGGCUCAACCGGGGAGGGUCAUUGGAAACUGGGAGACUUGAGUGCAGAAGAGGAGAGUGGAAUUCCAUGUGUAGCGGUGAAAUGCGUAGAUAUAUGGAGGAACACCAGUGGCGAAGGCGGCUCUCUGGUCUGUAACUGACGCUGAGGCUCGAAAGCGUGGGGAGCGAACAGGAUUAGAUACCCUGGUAGUCCACGCCGUAAACGAUGAGUGAUAGGUGUUGG